ACCGACAGGACCUUGGCAAUAUAGGGGAUCAACGGCAGGUUCAGCACAAGGAGAACGAGAUUGCCGAUAUACAUCGAGAUGAUGACAGCCCAGAAGAUGUGAGGACUGUCGAUCAUCAGGCGCGGCCC
rfam:Alphaproteobacteria bacterium MedPE-SWcel Alphaproteobacteria-MedPE-SWcel-C17, whole genome shotgun sequence.